rnacentral:rRNA from 1 species
UACGAAGGGGGCUAGCGUUGCUCGGAAUCACUGGGCGUAAAGCGCACGUAGGCGGAUUGCUAAGUCGGGGGUGAAAUCCUGGAGCUCAACUCCAGAACUGCCUUCGAUACUGGCGAUCUUGAGUCCGGGAGAGGUGAGUGGAACUCCGAGUGUAGAGGUGAAAUUCGUAGACAUCUGGAGGAAUACCGGUGGCGAAGGCGGCAUCCUGGACCGGCAUUGACGCUGAGUGAGCGAAAGCCAGGGGAGCAAACGGG